CCGUAACGUCUGAAGAGUGCCUCGAUUUUGAUUUUGGUAGUGGUGGCUCUUUGUGAGUGCAUUGGUGACUCAAUCUACUGCUGCCGCUAACCAUCUGCAGCAACUCGAGGACCUUGGUAUGUUUGCUUCUUCCUUUAUCCAUGUGUUAAGGUCAUUUUUGUUCUUACAAUUUCGUCCACACCUUUCCCUCCAAUCUGUUUAAACAAGUGGCCUGGAGAUGAGCAUGAGCAAUGUUGUUCUACUUGAUUGAAAACUGAAAAGGCAUGCUUUUGUUGAUUCAGAAUUGGAAUAGUGUGUUGUGAGCACCAUAUUUACUUACGAGCUGCAAGUAUAUUUGUACAAUCUUCAUGCCAAUUACAAGGGAUGUACUCCCUGUUUUCAUGCAGGUUAGUAACCAUGGCUUACAGAAUGUCGGUGUUCCUUAUAUUCUAUUUGCAAAACCUCAUAUAUUGGAGGUUCCUAUAAUCGAUUCGAAAAACAUGCUACAUGAACACAUAACACUAGCUAUAGGUAGUAGCUGCCAAUUUGUGUCUUGUCUUGUGCGACUGACUGAUGUUUGUUCUAAAAUGACUGAUCAUCAUUGCCGAGGAAUUACUAAGUAUUAAUAUAUUACUAUUAAUAUGUUUAGUAGUUACAAAAACUUUUUAGCUGACUACCGUCGAGGCAGAACAAAUAUGUAUCCCCGCUGUUGCAUAGCUACUUCUCUAGUAGUGAAUUUCCUUUGCAUUCUAAAAAUGCGAUACUUUGGAAUCUGUGUUUUAUUUGUAGCAAACCCUUUAUAGAGGAUAAUGCAAUGUUACUUUAUCAUGGUUAUAUAGUUGUUCCAGAACUGACUAUUCGCUACUAUUCAGAUUCAGGACCAUCUUGCACGCUCCAACAAUAUUUUUGCCUUUGAUUAGCGUGGAAUGUCAAGAAUCACCCCCCUUCGCAGCUUCACCAGGCUUCAACCGAUUAGUUGGAGGCAUGAACUAGGUCAUCAAAGAAUCAGGAGCCCAUGCUGAUGAAAUAUGACUGGGUAAUCUUCAGAGGAGUCAUCUUCAUGUCCCCCAAGAUGAGAGCUGAUGAAACUGAUAAUUUCACCUCUCGUGCUAGUCCCGAUCUGGUCAUGUCUAGCUUUGUAUUUUUGGCACCAUGUAAUCAACAAGAAUGUACAUUUUUUUUAAAAGUAUGCGAGCUUUUUGUAGUUUAUAUGGGUGCUUGUCAUACAAUUUAUGUGGAUGCUUGUGUUGUUCCGAUGUGAAAGACGUGAUGUUCUUGCAUGGCAGAAUCUAUAGAAAAUGUGUUCAGAG
rnacentral:lncRNA from 1 species